rnacentral:rRNA from 1 species
AUUGAACGCUGGCGGCAGGCCUAACACAUGCAAGUCGAGCGGAGCGGCGGACGGGUGAGUAAUGCCUAGGAAUCUGCCUGGUAGUGGGGGAUAACGUCCGGAAACGGGCGCUAAUACCGCAUACUAUCAGAUGAGCCUAGGUCGGAUUAGCUAGUUGGUGGGGUAAAGGCCUACCAAGGCGACGAUCCGUAACUGGUCUGAGAGGAUGAUCAGUCACAGUGGAAAGGCGACACGGUCCAGACGCCUACGGGAGGGAGCAGUGGGGGAUAUUGGACCAUGGUUGAAAGCCUGAUGCAGCGACGCCGCGUGGGGGAUGAAGGCUUUCGGGUUGUAAACCGCUUUCGCUAUCGAACGGGUAGGUGGAGAAGAAGCGCCGGCUAACUACGUGCCAGCAGCCGCGGUAAUUC